rnacentral:rRNA from 1 species
AGUGAACGCUGGCGGUAGGCCUAACACAUGCAAGUCGAACGGCAGCACAGUAAGAACUUGCUCUUACGGGUGGCGAGUGGCGGACGGGUGAGGAAUACAUCGGAAUCUACUUUUUCGUGGGGGAUAACGUAGGGAAACUUACGCUAAUACCGCAUACGACCUACGGGUGAAAGCAGGGGAUCUUCGGACCUUGCGCGAUUGAAUGAGCCGAUGUCGGAUUAGCUAGUUGGCGGGGUAAAGGCCCACCAAGGCGACGAUCCGUAGCUGGUCUGAGAGGAUGAUCAGCCACACUGGAACUGAGACACGGUCCAGACUCCUACGGGAGGCAGCAGUGGGGAAUAUUGGACAAUGGGCGCAAGCCUGAUCCAGCCACACCGCGUGGGUGAAGAAGGCCUUCGGGUUGUAAAGCCCUUUUGUUGGGAAAGAAAAGCAGCAGGUUAAUACCCCGCUGUUCUGACGGUACCCAAAGAAUAAGCACCGGCUAACUUCGUG